rnacentral:rRNA from 1 species
AUGCGGCGUGUCAACCUCUCACACAACUCCUUCUCCAGUGGCCUUCCGAUGGAGCUCAUGUCGUCCGGAAGCAUCAUUGUCCUCGAUGUCAGCUUCAACCGUCUCAACGGACUGCUGCCCGAGGUGCCAUAUUUGUCUACCACUGAGCGACCUCUGCAGGUACUCAACGUCUCAAGCAACCAGUUCAGCUCAGAUUUUCCAUCAGCCACAUGGAAGGUGAUGAAGAAUCUGAUCGCGCUCAACGCCAGCAAUAACAGCUUCACUGGGCACAUGUCGUCUUCUCUUUGCAUUGGCUCGCCAUCUUUGGCUUUGCUUGACCUCUCUCACAACCAAUUGAGUGGCCACAUUCCGAAUACACCGGGUAAUUGCUCCAAGCUCAAAGUGCUCAAGCUGGCAACAACCACCUAA